rnacentral:rRNA from 1 species
AUUGAACGCUGGCGGCAGGCCUAAUACAUGCAAGUCGAACGAGUGGCGGACGGGUGAGUAAUGUCUGGGAAACUGCCUGAUGGAGGGGGAUAAUUACUGGAAACGGUAGCUAAUACCGCAUACCAUCGGAUGUGCCCAGAUGGGAUUCGCUAGUAGGUGGGGGAAAGGCUCACCGAGGCGACGAUCCCUAGCUGGUCUGAGAGGAUGACCGGCCACCCUGGAACGGAGACACGGUCCAGACUCCUACGGAAGGCAGCAGUGGGGAAUAUUGCACAAUGAGCGCAAGCCUGAUGCAGCAAGGCCGCGUGUAUGAAGAAGGCCUUCGGGUUGUAAAGUACUUUCAGCGGGGAGGCGUUACCCACAAAAGAAGCACCGGCUAACUCCGUGCCAGCAGCCGCGGUAAUAC